CCUACGGGAGGCAGCAGUAGGGAAUUUUCGGCAAUGGGGGAAACCCUGACCGAGCAACGCCGCGUGGGGGAAGAAGGCCUUCGGGUCGUAAACCUCUGUCUUUGGGGACGAUAAUGACGGUACCCGAGGAGGAAGCCCCGGCUAACUACGUGCCAGCAGCCGCGGUAAU
rnacentral:rRNA from 1 species